GUAGUCCAUGCCGUAAACGAUGUAUACUUGAUGUAGUUGGGCUCAACCCCGAUUGUGUCGUAGCUAACGCGAUAAGUAUACCGCCUGAGGAGUACGCUCGCAAGGGUGAAACUCAAAAGAAUUGACGGGGGCCCGCACAAGCAGUGGAGCAUGUGGUUUAAUUCGAUGCAACGCGAAGAACCUUACCCAGAUUUGAAAUACAGAGGACAGUCUAAGAAAUUAGAUCUCCCGCAAGGGUCUUUGUACAGGUGCUGCAUGGCUGUCGUCAGCUCGUGCCGUGAGGUGUUGGGUUAAGUCCCGCAACGAGCGCAACCCUUAUCAUUAGUUGCCAACAUUUAAGGUGGGAACUCUAGUGAGACUGCCUGGGUUAACCAGGA
rnacentral:rRNA from 1 species